rnacentral:lncRNA from 1 species
AUUCUGAUCUUGCAUUGAAUAUAUUAGAUGAUAUAACCAUUUCGAUUUUGAUUUCAAUUUCAGGCGUGAACCUAAUGUGCCCUCAUUUAAUCUUUUUCUUUCAUUCAAAUUAUGUUUGUUAAGAUGGUUAAUACUUAACCUAAUACUAGGACUUCCGCUGAGCAGCUAGCUAUAUUGUAAUUUGAAAUCCUCAUGGGAUCUAAAAUGGCACUUGAUAUAUUGUCCUAGGGUAAUCACAUUGCAUCAUCCUACCCAGAAUGGAAUGGAAACAGUGCUCUCCAAGAUGGAUAAGAACUUACAUCUUGCCAUUUGCUUGCUGCCU